rnacentral:rRNA from 1 species
AUUGAACGCUGGCGGCAGGCCUAACACAUGCAAGUCGAACGCGUGGCGGACGCGUGAGUAUUGUCUCGAAAACUUUCCGCUGGCGGGGGAUAUCUCCUUGAAAAAGUACCUCUUACCGCAUACGCUCAUAUGUACCCAGAUGGGAUUAUCUUGUUGGUGGGGUAAAGGCUCACCAAGGCGACGAUCCCUAGCUGGUCUGAGAGGAUGACCAGCCACACUGGAACUGAGACACGGUCCAGACUCCUACGGGAGGCAGCAGUGGGGAAUAUUGCACAAUGGGCGCAAUCCUGAUGCAGCCAUGCGGCGUGUAUGAAGAAGGCCUUCGGGUUGUAAAGUACUUUCAGCGGGGAGGCGUUACCCGCAGAAGAAGCACCGGCUAACUCCGUGCCAGCAGCCGCGGUAAUAC